UACGUAGGGACCGAGCGUUGUCCGGAAUCAUUGGGCGUAAAGAGCGUGUAGGCGGCCUUUUAAGUCCUGCGUGAAAUCCUGCGGCUCAACCGCAGACGGUCGUGGGAAACUGGAAGGCUAGAGUACGGGAGAGGAGAGUGGAAUUCCCGGUGUAGCGGUGAAAUGCGCAGAUAUCGGGAAGAACACCCGUGGCGAAGGCGGCUCUCUGGACCGCAACUGACGCUGAGACGCGAAAGCGUGGGGAGCAAACAGG
rnacentral:rRNA from 1 species